GGGGAUUUAGCUCAGUGGUAGAGCGUCUCGUUUGCAUCGAGAAGGCCGGGGGUUCAAACCCCCCAAUCUCCA